rnacentral:rRNA from 1 species
GAUGAACGCUGGCGGCGUGCCUAAUACAUGCAAGUAGAACGCUGAAGGAAGGAGCUUGCUCUUUCCGGAUGAGUUGCGAACGGGUGAGUAACGCGUAGGUAACCUGCCUGGUAGCGGGGGAUAACUAUUGGAAACGAUAGCUAAUACCGCAUAACAGUAGAUGUUGCAUGACAACUAUUUGAAAGGGGCAAUUGCUCCACUACCAGAUGGACCUGCGUUGUAUUAGCUAGUUGGUGAGGUAACGGCUCACCAAGGCGACGAUACAUAGCCGACCUGAGAGGGUGAUCGGCCACACUGGGACUGGGACACGGCCCAGACUCCUAAGGGAGGGAGCAGGAGGGGAUCUUCGGCAAUGGACGGAAGUCUGACCGUGCAACGCCGCGUGAGGGAAGAAGGUUUUCGGGUCGUAAAGCUCUGUUGUGAGGGAAGAACGAGUGUGAGAGUGGAAAGUUCACACUGUGACGGUACCUUACCAGAAAGGGACGGCUAACUACGUG